rnacentral:rRNA from 1 species
UACGGGGGGGGCAAGCGUUGUUCGGAAUUACUGGGCGUAAAGGGCUCGUAGGCGGCCAACUAAGUCAUACGUGAAAUCCCUCGGCUUAACCGGGGAACUGCGUCUGAUACUGGAUGGCUUGAGUUUGGGAGAGGGAUGCGGAAUUCCAGGUGUAGCGGUGAAAUGCGUAGAGAUCAUGAGGAAGACCAGUGGCGAAGGCGGGUCUCUGGACAGUUCCUGACACUGAGGCACGAAGGCCAGGGGAGCAAACGGG